rnacentral:tRNA from 1 species
UCCUCAAUAGCUCAGUCGGUAGAGCAUGCGGCUGUUAACCGCAUGGUCGUUGGUUCGAGUCCAACUUGAGGAGCCA